rnacentral:rRNA from 1 species
GCAAAUCCGCAGACGAAUCUCCGAGGCAAAGGAUCGAGUCCCAUUGGGGACGAAGUGAUUGGAUGGACUUCCAGGAAAAGCCUCUAAGCUCCAGCUCAACGGGACCGUACCGCAAACCGACACUGGUGGGCGAGCUGAAUAUGCUCAGGCGCUUGAGAGAACUCAGGAGAAGGAACUCGGCAAAUUGACACCGUAACUUCGGGAUAAGGUGUGCCUUGGUAGCGUGGAGGGAGAAACACCCCGAGCGUGAAGAGGUCUCAGAGAAUCGGUGGCUGCGACUGUUUACUAAAAACACAGCACUCUGCAAAGACGAAAGUCGACGUAUAGGGUGUGAUGCCUGCCCGGUGCUGGAAGAUUAAUUGAUGGGGUGCAAGCUCCUGAUCGAAGUCCCAGUAAACGGCGGCCGUAACUAUAGCGAAAUUCCUUGUCGGGCAAGUUCCGACCUGCACGAAUGGCAUAACGAUGGCCACACUGUCUCCUCCUGAGACUCAGUGAAGUUGAAGUGUUUGUGAUGAUGCAAUCUCCCCGCGGCUAGACGGAAAGACCCCAUGAACCUUUACUGCAGCUUUGCAUUGGACUUUGAACCGAUCUGUGUAGGAUAGGUGGGAGGCUGUGAAACCGGGACGCCAGUCUCGGCGGAGCCGUCCUUGAAAUACCACCCUGAUUUGUUUGAGGUUCUAACCUAGGCCAGUCAUCCUGGUCGGGGACCGUGCAUGGUGGGCAGUUUGACUGGGGCGGUCUCCUCCUAAAGGGUAACGGAGGAGUGCGAAGGUACGCUAGGUACGGUCGGAAAUCGUGCUGAUAGUGCAAUGGCAAAAGCGUGCUUGACUGCGAGACCCACAAGUCGAGCAGAUACGAAAGUAGGUCAUAGUGAUCCGGUGGUUCUGAAUGGAAGGGCCAUCGCUCAACGGAUAAAAGGUACUCCGGGGAUAACAGGCUGAUACCGCCCAAGAGUUCAUAUCGACGGCGGUGUUUGGCACCUCGAUGUCGGCUCAUCACAUCCUGGGGCUGAAGUAGGUCCCAAGGGUAUGGCUGUUCGCC